rnacentral:lncRNA from 1 species
CGGGUGCCCAGCUCCGGGCGGGCGGCCUCGGCCCUUCUCCCUGUGUGGCCUGGACUCAGUCCCGCUGCGCCCUUGGCGAGUCGGGGAAGGAGGUGGCGGGCGAGGGUGCUCCGGACGAGGCCAGGCAGGGGGAGGCGAACCUGCGACUCGCCGGCCCGUGUCCCCCGCGUCUCCGGAGGCCCGGGGCGCGGGCACCUUCGGUUGAACGGAAGAGGAGCGGGGAGCGAGGGAGGCGGCAGUUUGUGUCUCGGGGCUCUUCCGCCCCUUCUCGCCUCCUCCUAAGACAGACAGACGCCACCCCACCUGGGGCCGAGCGGGAACUGUGGGACCGUGAUUCGGUCCCCAGGUCCAGACGCCCGGCCUCGGGGGAGGACACGGUCCCAGCCCGCGUGGGCACCGCGUGGGACCGGGCACGGGGCUGCCAGGGCUGGGUCCCCUCUGGCCCCGGCCUGGGACACCGCGGGCCUGGGGCGGCGGGCCCCUUUGUGUGACUAAAUUUGGCAAGAAUAUGAAUCCGAGCCAGCCUUUCCACGUGUGCUCCCAGCUCCCAGCUGAGGAGGCCAAGGGUUCUCUUCCGGUGCUCAGGGAAAGCGCCUGACUGACAGCACCGACAUCCAAUGCCCAGGAAUCACGGCAACACCGGCUGGCCAAGCGUGGAGAGGACAAUUUUCCACACUUAGUUCUAUAUGCAGAAAGACUCAUCAGUGAAGUUAUCUUCGCCAAGAAUGCAUUUACCCGGAACACAGCCGGUUUCUAGCUCUUUCCCUGGCUGCAGAGCUGUGCUUAGCUCAGAGUGAGCAACCAGGGGUGAAUUUGGAGGACUGAGCAUGGCAAGGCAAAGAGUUU